rnacentral:lncRNA from 1 species
UGCAUGGAGGAGGAAGCAUUGUUUUCAGGUCCAAAGAGCGUAUCUUUCGGGGUCGAAUACUUAACAAACCAACAUUUCUGUGGGUGAAAGAACUUGUUCCCAUAUAAAUAUGUGCAUAUAACCUAAAAUACUUGUUUCCGAAUUUAUAUAUUUUACUUUUGCGUGUGUCAAGUUCAAGAGCAAUUUCAUUAACAUUAAAAUCUACAAGAGAUUUAAUGACUUUAUGCAAUUUUUUAUGUGGAUCAAGGACCGGUUAGUUACGCAAGGUUGGUGAAUACCAUAUGGAACCAAACAUCUCCUACAUAUUGGAUGCUGGUUAAAUGCGAGACGUCAUGAACCACACCCUUUGCAUAAUACAGAGUUGCAGAGAUCUUAAGACCUUUUAAGUGUCGCCUGAAGUGAAAAAUUAAGCAACAGUUGUAACGAAUACGUCAGUUAUUAUUAUGAAUGGUGUUCGCUUGGAUAAAGCCAAUUCAUGCAAUCGUGUCAUUGAAUGGUGAAGAUGUGAAUUGAACAGGAAAACUCAACUUUGAUAUGCAGUUAGAUUAAAUGUAUAAGAGUAUGAAUCUUGAAGAAAUAUCAGACGAAAGCACAAGAAUUAUAAAAAAAAAAUAUUAGGAACUCUGGAAAAUACUUUUAGACAGCAGCACCGCAACUCCAUUCAAGAAGAAAGUGCCGUUGGAUUCAUCGAUAUGAUUCUCUUUGAGAUUGAUAAGGACUUAAGGUGUAAUAAUUUAACAUAAAAUCGUCGAAUUUGUAGUAAUAAUAAGAUUUAUAUGAAACUUUUCAA